rnacentral:lncRNA from 1 species
UGAUCAUCUGGUGUUAAUAUUCUGAAAAUGACAUUCACAAAAUGAGAGUUAAGCUGGAUGAGAAGAGAAAGAGGAAAGGACCAGGAGUGGCGACCGGCAAACCACAGCUUGUGUGGGAAGGAAAUUUGACAUGUGAUGCAAGCGGACGUUUGUGUAAACUGCUGGGAGAUUAACAACAACUGUGAGUGGAAUUGCUGAGUCAUGUGGCAAACUACCAGUUCUGUUGAACCUCAGGGCCAUCAUUCUGUUCAUGUCAGCUCGUUGUAGAACCACAUCGAUGAAGACCAAGAUGGUAAAGAUGAAAAAUUGUAGCUAACAUUUACUGCACAUUUACUACAAGCCAAGCAUUGCACUAUGAAGUUUAAGUGCAUUAUUCAUUAACCCCUUCAAUAAAAUUUGUAAUUUUCAUUUCAGAA